rnacentral:misc_RNA from 1 species
GAACGCAUAUUGCGCUCUCUGGUAUUCCGGAGAGCAUGCUUGUUUGAGUAUCAGUAAACACCUCAACUUCCAUAUCUUUUUUGAAAUGGGAGUUGGACUUGAGUGAUCCCAACGCUUUUCCUCACCGAAAAGUGGCGGGUUACUUGAAAUGCAGGGGCAGCUGGACUUUUCUCUGAGCUAUAAGCAUAUCUAUUUAGUCUGCCUAAAAAACAGAUUAUUACCUUUGCUGCAGCUAACAUAAAGGAGAUUAGUGCUUGUGCUGACUGAUGCAGGAUUCACAAAGACAGCUUCGGCCGACUUUGUAAACUCGAUCUCAAAUCAAGUAAGACUACCCGCUGAACUUA